rnacentral:rRNA from 1 species
UACGAAGGGGGCUAGCGUUGCUCGGAAUCACUGGGCGUAAAGGGUGCGUAGGCGGGUCUUUAAGUCAGGGGUGAAAUCCUGGAGCUCAACUCCAGAACUGCCUUUGAUACUGAGGAUCUUGAGUUCGGGAGAGGUGAGUGGAACUGCGAGUGUAGAGGUGAAAUCCGUAGAUAUUCGCAAGAACACCAGUGGCGAAGGCGGCUCACUGGCCCGAUACUGACGCUGAGGCACGAAAGCGUGGGGAGCAAAC